CGAUACUUAGUAGAUCAUUUUUCCAUCAAACAAAAGCAAAAUUGCCAAAAGGUUUCAAAAUUUUGGCCAAGGGUCUCAAUUCCCUGGGCAUGCCAUCAAAAUUUCCAGAAUUUACAUCAAAUGGGAGCACUCGUCUUUUCUUAAUUUUCCAGCAUAUGCCCUCAGCUAGAUGCUCCUUGUUUGGGGUCAACAUAACGAAAUUUGGGUCUGUCCUUUGAUAACUACAAUCAGGGAAGCGAUGAUAUCAAAUUUCCAUGGAUGUAGAAUGGCAAUACAAAGGUGGAGCCUCCGUGGGCUUAUAAAAUCGUAUCGAGAAGGCAUACAGGGAAAUGUAUCCAACCUUACUUCCCUAAUGUUAUCGACACGAACACCAAAUCCAAAUGAUGUCCCUCGUUUUGUCCGAUCUCUGACAGUUGUAAGCCAGUGAAAUUAAUGGUUGAAGAAUGAGAUAAAUUAUAUAAACAGAGAAUGAGGGGCAAAGAAUGAUAGAGAAACAACAAAACGGGAAUCAAUA
rnacentral:lncRNA from 1 species